CGAUCUCAACAUAAGUGGCAUCAUAGCGGCGGUAGUCGUCGUGGCCAUAGUGAUUUCUCUCUGUGGCCUUGGCGUGUGCUAUGCUCAGAGGAAAGGCUACUUUUCAAAUCUCUUGGAACUCCCAUUUGGUGAUACAGUCAGUUUGAUGUAAAUGGGUAAGAUUUAAAAAUAAUGUUUUAGUCUUUUAAUGCAUUUCUUUGUUCCCAGUCUUUAAAAUUAUCUGGGACCUUAAAAGCUGUAUAAUUCCAUCAAGUCUAUUGGGAAUCAUGAAUAAAGUAGAAGUUUUCAUGAAAUAAUAAAUUUGUAGUAUGAACAAGUUUUAGACCCCCUGUUUUAUUAUUGUGAAGAUUAAUUUUGGAAUUUAGGUUUAAAAGAUAUUUUAUACCAAAAUAAAACAAAUUUAUAAGGUGUUUCUAAUAAUACCGACAAAAGAAGUAUUAAGUAUUAUAACAUGUUUCCAUGAACAUGAUUUCAAGGAUAUUUUCUGCAACUAAGAGUAACGGCUCUGUGAAUUAACAGUGGCUGUUCCUUUGCCCAGUCUAGUCCAGUGUAAUGUAAUCUGAUCGAGUCCCCCUGCUGGUCACCAGUGAAAGUACAAACAGAUAAGAUUGCUCAUUGAUAACCCUUGUCAACUUUAUUUCUACUUGCAAAGAAUACCUGAGUAUUUUUUAUUAAAAACUUGGUAAACAAAUUUUUCUUAAAAUACUUAAAGAUUUGAUGUGAAUAUAAGCCAUUCAUUAGCUAAGAAAGUUAAUCCUGUUUUCAUCCAGCAGAAAAUCUAAGAGAAUCAUUUUCUUGAGCUUGCAUUUCAGACAGGGCUUGGCAAACUAUGACCCAUGAGCCAAAUCUGGCCUGCCACUUGAUCUUUUAUGGUCCAUGAGCUACGAAUGGUUUUUACAGAUGAACAUGGCAAUCUAUAUGAUAACAGAGGACACUAACAGUGAACCCAAAUUAAGAGAAAUCUUAUCUCCCCCUAAAAGAAUUACAUUCUUCUAAUUAGUAGGUCUGAAUUGCAAGGCUAUGAUUAUUAUUAUAUUUUUUAUUCAUUGAUAAAAAUUUUUGGAAAUUUGUUUUCUCUUUUGUUAUAUUAAGUACCUGCCCAGUAUUCAUGAUUUCACCUCUUUGUCCACAAAGAGUAAAAUACUGGAGUUCCCGCUGUAGUGCAGUGGGUUAAGAAUCUGAGUGCAGCCAUUCAGAUCUCUGCAGAGAUAUGAAUUCGAUUACUGGCCCUUGCAUAGAGGAUCAAAUGAUCCAAUGUUGCCACAGCUGCACCUAGGAUUCAGUCCUCAGCCUGGGAACUUCCAUAUGCUGCAGUGUGGACAUUAAAAAAAAAAA
rnacentral:lncRNA from 1 species